GUGGUUAUUUUAUUUCAUUUUUAGAGCCGCCGUAUCAUUGGACUCAAGCAGUUGCCACGAGACUCGUUCCAGUGGCAGCUGACUUCAAAUUCACAUUUAGGAAGUCACUCAGUACUGACAGCUGUCCGAGCUCUCCAGCCCCGGUCAAACCGGCGCCCCUGCCUCCUCUUGGCUCUACGCCGAGGAGGCAAUCCCGGAGGAGGCUGAUUAUAAUAAC